CUACGGGUCGCUGCAGUGGGGAAUAUUGCACAAUGGACGAAAGUCUGAUGCAGCAACGCCGCGUGGAGGAUGACACUUUUCGGAGCGUAAACUCCUUUUAUAUAGGAAGAUAAUGACGGUACUAUAUGAAUAAGCACCGGCUAACUCCGUGCCAGCAGCCGCGGUAAUACGGAGGGUGCAAGCGUUACUCGGAAUCACUGGGCGUAAAGAGCGUGUAGGCGGGUUAAUAAGUCAGAAGUGAAAUCCAAUGGCUCAACCAUUGAACUGCUUUUGAAACUGUUAACCUAGAAUAUGGGAGAGGUAGAUGGAAUUUCUGGUGUAGGGGUAAAAUCCGUAGAGAUCAGAAGGAAUACCGAUUGCGAAGGCGAUCUACUGGAACAUUAUUGACGCUGAGACGCGAAAGCGUGGGGAGCAAACAGGAUUAGAUACCCGGGUAGUC
rnacentral:rRNA from 1 species